UGUACCCUUCUCUACGGAAUAGCCUCGGGAAACUGAGAGUAAUACCGUAUACGCCCUUCGGGGGAAAGAUUUAUCGGAGAAGGAUCAGCCCGCGUAAGAUUAGAUAGUUGGUGGGGUAAUGGCCUACCAAGUCUACGAUCUUUAGCUGGUUUUAGAGGAUGAUCAGCAACACUGGGACUGAGACACGGCCCAGACUCCUACGGGAGGCAGCAGUGGGGAAUCUUGGACAAUGGGCGCAAGCCUGAUCCAGCCAUGCCGCGUGUGUGAUGAAGGCCUUAGGGUCGUAAAGCACUUUCGCUAGAGAUGAUAAUGACAGUAUCUAGUAAAGAAGUCCCGGCUAACUCCGUGCCAGCAGCCGCGGUAAUACGGAGGGGACUAGCGUCGUUCGGAAUUACUGGGCGUAAAGCGUACGUAGGCGGAUCAGAAAGUAUGGGGUGAAAUCCCAGGGCUCAACCCUGGAACUGCCUCAUAAACUCCUGGUCUAGAGUUCGAGAGAGGUGAGUGGAAUUCCGAGUGUAGAGGUGAAAUUCGUAGAUAUUCGGAGGAACACCAGUGGCGAAGGCGGCUCACUGGCUCGAUACUGACGCUGA
rnacentral:rRNA from 1 species